CGGGGACCAGGAGCUGAAUCGCCGGAGUCGCGAGGCCCUGGGAGAGGGAACGGGAAAAUGUCAACAGGAGUCAGCGGACAUUGACUUAAGAGGAAUCUUAGCACGCAAGCAUGUUUCAGGACCACGGACAGUGACACUGGGUGCUCUCACCACCAAGCGUUUUUCUUAGACUGCCUAUAGAAACAGGCGAAACACCCUAAAGGUACAUGAUGUGCUUCAUGAAGCAAGUAUCAAGAUCCAAAUGACUUGUGCCAAAAGAUAUAAGGAGUGGAAAAAGAAAAGGGCACACUAUGGACUGGAGUAGGUAGGAGGUAGGCCUUCAGCUAAAUUUUGAAGAGUAAGAUUUACAGAGGCAUCACAAGUCCCUGAUGUGGUAAGACAUGUAUAGCUUAGCCAGCAAAGUACUGAAAUAAAAAGAGAUACUCCAUAAAGUAUUAUUCCGGAGGAAGAAGACACCUCUGAAUUUGAAUGGUCCAAGAAUGUGGAAAGAGUUAAGUCAUCCCAGUCAAAUGAGAUUACUGUGAUCAGAGAAAUAGCACACCCUGGUUCAUGUGUUCACUCCUGUGACCUCAUGAAGGAAGAGGAGAAAUUCCUGAAAAGAUGUUGAGGAAGGACAUGGGAAAGAUACAUAUGCAGCAACUUCAAAGACUGAAGAAACAUAAGCUCCUACAGAUGAGAAAGAAUCAGAGCAAGACCUCUGGCAACUCAAAAGGCUAGAGAGUGUCUUGUUACCUCCAAACAACCACGUUAGUUCCUUAGCAAUGAUUCUUGACCAGACUGAGAUUGCUGAAGUUACAGAAACAGAAUUCAGAAUAUGGAUAGAAAUAAAGAUCAUCAACAUAAAAGAGAAAACCAAACCCAAUUCAAAAAUU
rnacentral:lncRNA from 1 species